UUUUUGUCCUAACAAAGCUGGGAACAGCAAUGGAUACUAAAGGCCAACAACGUUUUUUGUUCGAAUGAUGGGUGAAAGUUUACGAAUGCCUAAACGUCAGUAUUAUCUGCACCAGGGCUUUGUUCACCAAGAAAUUAAGUAAAUGUACGACAAGGCUUGCACCACCAGCGGGAUAUUCUACUAACUCUGUGUGCGGCGACAUAGUCGAGUCCCAGAAAAAGUCACUGAUACUCAAACUGCCAAUAGUAAAAAAGAUCACUUCAAUGCAUUAAAACCUGGAAUAAAAUGCUGCUUGCUUCCUUCUGUUUCAUUCUUUGAAGUAAGAACCGAUGAGAUCCAUGGCUAUAGCUUCAAUCACCGCAAAAAGUGUCGGUCAGUGACCGGCUCCCUCAACUCAACUCUACCUGCCGUGCCAUAGAAGUUUCUCCACAGCUGCUGACAGUGGUGUCUGCUCACAACAAUAGCUAAACCCUCCUUCUUCCUCACCUGCUUCUGCCUUUCACGCCGCCAGCUGGACUGUCUGCCAAAAGGGAGAAAAUGUCAACAGGACCUAGUUGGCAUGGUGGUUUGAAUAUUUGUAGUGUCAUGCUGACCA
rnacentral:lncRNA from 1 species